GAGAGGGAACAGAAAGGAGGUAACUUUCCUGAAUUAGAGAAGGGGGAAGUUGGAUAAUACAACUUUCUGUCUGAGUUUAGUUUAAUGUCCUAAUGCAAACCAUCCGGAGAAGAAAGAAAGGCAACAAAAGGAGUAAACGUGCUCAGACUGCUACGGACACCUGUUGCAUUUGGUGGAACAAAAGAAAACUUCAACCACCACACUUUACAGCUUUGCAUGCCAGGAGGCAAUGCCCAUCACAGAAAUGGAUGGUGGCACGGAACAAGUAUCAUAUAGGAUGCCUGCUCCAAGUUCAUCAUCGGUGCCUCCAUUUUCCAUACCAAAUAAUGUCAUACUCAGUGACAAUGAAACACAGGAAAAGUGGCUAAAGCACAAGAUUAACAUAGAGAAUCUGAGGAGAAAAUAAAUAGUUUGAACAUCUACUGUGACUCCUUGAGUAGAAAAGGCUUUUAGUUUGCUGGUUUUCAUACCCUCAACUAUGCAUUUAGGAAUACUCUGGGUUGUCUGAGGAUGAUCCGCCUUUACCUAAUAUUUUCUUUCUGGCUGUGGUCAACCUUCUCUGACACAUCAGAGGAAGAUGGAGGAAAAGGGGAAUAAAUCUUCCUGUGAGCACAGAAAUUGAAUUCUAUUUUCCUCUAGCUUCUUGUGGUUAAUUCAUGGUAUUCUGACAUCGUCUUGUAUGUUUUACAGCCCCUUCUGUUAUCUAGCAAACAUAUCCUUACUUCUCUCAAAAGUUCCUAAUACCAUUCCUAGUUUCUUUUCACGUCC